UUUUCAGAAAAAUAAGUUUUGCAUUUAAAUCGGCACUGACCUUUACAAUCACCUUUGAUUUUUUUACUUUUAACCUUUUUCCCCUUAACAUCAAUGUACUCUUUCCCAGACUGUCUUCUUUUUUUUCUUAUAUUUUGUUUCCAAAUUUCUGUUUUUCUUACUCUUUUUCUACCUCUGGGCUCAUUGUUUUCUGUUGUCGAAGGAGCAGAGUCAUUAGAAUCUGCACUUUCAACAACAGUAUCUACCAUGCAUUUGAUAAUAUGAUUAACUUCAUUUUUCAAAGUUAGGUUUUCAUUUAACAUAUCAACAUUUUCAAAGGGAAGAGAGUUAUUAAAAUCAAAACUGUUUUGUUCACAGUCAUCAUGUAAUAUAACAACAGUUG
rnacentral:lncRNA from 1 species